rnacentral:rRNA from 1 species
AGAGUUUGAUCCUGGCUCAGAUUGAACGCUGGCGGCAUGCCUUACACAUGCAAGUCGAACGGCAGCACGAGAGCUUGCUCUUGGUGGCGAGUGGCGAACGGGUGAGUAAUAUAUCGGAACGUACCCUAGAGUGGGGGAUAACGUAGCGAAAGUUACGCUAAUACCGCAUACGAUCUACGGAUGAAAGUGGGGGAUCGCAAGACCUCAUGCUCAUGGAGCGGCCGAUAUCUGAUUAGCUAGUUGGUGGGGUAAAAGCUCACCAAGGCGACGAUCAGUAGCUGGUCUGAGAGGACGACCAGCCACACUGGAACUGAGACACGGUCCAGACUCCUACGGGAGGCAGCAGUGGGGAAUUUUGGACAAUGGGCGCAAGCCUGAUCCAGCAAUGCCGCGUGAGUGAAGAAGGCCUUCGGGUUGUAAAGCUCUUUUGUCAGGGAAGAAACGGUGGACUCUAAUACAGAUCACUAAUGACGGUACCUGAAGAAUAAGCACCGGCUAACUACGUGCCAGCAGCCGCGGUAAUACGUAGGGUGCAAGCGUUAAUCGGAAUUACUGGGCGUAAAGCGUGCGCAGGCGGUUGUGCAAGACAGAUGUGAAAUCCCCGGGCUCAACCUGGGAAUUGCAUUUGUGACUGCACGGCUAGAGUGUGUCAGAGGGGGGUAGAAUUCCACGUGUAGCAGUGAAAUGCGUAGAGAUGUGGAGGAAUACCGAUGGCGAAGGCAGCCCCCUGGGAUAACACUGACGCUCAUGCACGAAAGCGUGGGGAGCAAACAGGAUUAGAUACCCUGGUAGUCCACGCCCUAAACGAUGUCUACUAGUUGUCGGGUCUUAAUUGACUUGGUAACGCAGCUAACGCGUGAAGUAGACCGCCUGGGGAGUACGGUUGCAAGAUUAAAACUCAAAGGAAUUGACGGGGACCCGCACAAGCGGUGGAUGAUGUGGAUUAAUUCGAUGCAACGCGAAAAACCUUACCUACCCUUGACAUGUCUGGAAUCCUUGAGAGAUCAGGGAGUGCUCGAAAGAGAAUCAGAACACAGGUGCUGCAUGGCUGUCGUCAGCUCGUGUCGUGAGAUGUUGGGUUAAGUCCCGCAACGAGCGCAACCCUUGUCAUUAGUUGCUACGAAAGGGCACUCUAAUGAGACUGCCGGUGACAAACCGGAGGAAGGUGGGGAUGACGUCAAGUCCUCAUGGCCCUUAUGGGUAGGGCUUCACACGUCAUACAAUGGUACAUACAGAGGGCCGCCAACCCGCGAGGGGGAGCUAAUCCCAGAAAGUGUAUCGUAGUCCGGAUUGUAGUCUGCAACUCGACUACAUGAAGUUGGAAUCGCUAGUAAUCGCGGAUCAGCAUGUCGCGGUGAAUACGUUCCCGGGUCUUGUACACACCGCCCGUCACACCAUGGGAGCGGGUUUCACCAGAAGUGGGUAGCCUAACCGCAAGGAGGGCGCUCACCACGGUGGGAUUCGUGACUGGGGUGAAGUCGUAACAAGGUA